UGAAGUUGACAUGAUUCCUGUUUCAUACAUACAGCUCAAAGUCCAGAAAUAUAAUAAAGGGUAAAGAGGGAAGUCUGUUACCUAUCUAGAUUGGAAAUUCACACGGUGGAACUGACUCAGGACCAGCCUAACUCUUGCACCCCUACCGAUUUCUACUUGGGUGUCAGGUUGGAAAAGCAAGGUCCUUUACUACACAGGCCAGGUGAUUUUGCAGCUACUGUAGCCCAUGUCAGAAGUAAAGGGAAAAGAGAAAUGGUGAGAUUCCAACCUGGUGCACAGAGGAACAUGGCUCCCCUUCUGAAGUUCUGGGUUUCCAGGCAGAUGUACAACAAGCCAUCAGCCUCCUCUCAUGGGUCCACCAGCUUGUCAUGCUAUCCCAGCCCCUUCAGCCACAGCUCCCCCUACCCUGAGGCCUUCCAGCAAGACUUGAAAACUGCCUUUUAAGGGAUGAUCUAAAAAAAUGCUAAUUGCUGUACAUGGG